rnacentral:sRNA from 1 species
CGUCCUCGAUCUGUUGUGGGCAGAUGAAAUGGAUAUGUGCGUCAAACCCCCCGGGGGUGAGGAUUCUCCCCUCUCCGGCGAUGAUCUCGGUUCCCGGUCCGAUUAUGAUAUCCACGCCUGAUUGCGUAUCGGGAUUGCCCGCCUUGCCAAUCGCGGCGAUGAGACCGUCGCGAAGGCCGACAUCGGCUUUGAUGAUCCCCUGAUGAUCGACAAUGAGCGCGUUGGUGAUCACCGUAUCCAUCGCACCACCUGCACGGGUGACUUGGGAUUGGCCCAUGCCGUCUCG